ensembl:ncRNA lncRNA:CR45940 long non-coding RNA:CR45940
AGUGAUGUCCAGAUCGCUGUGAAAUAUUCGAGAUAAUCCCCAUACAUCAACUGUCGCUCUGAACCCUCGUUUAUCGAAGAUCUAGCGUAUUUCUGCCACGAAUAUUUGGCCGCUUACUCAUCCAGCAUUUCAUUCAAGCUGCCAGGCAAAACAUUUGCCUAAUUAUCCGCUUCAGAGGCCAAAGAUACAGAACCGGCUCAGGGCUAAGCCGAAACGAAGUUCCUGGAAAACCUGACACAUUGUUAGCAGCUAUAAAAACGUCAAGGAGAUCCAUGGUCGGAUAGGCAGGACACAUGGCGAGCACAGUCUUUCCAGGGAUUUUCAUGGCAAACAGAACAGCAUGACACAUGCACGGCAAAGAAACUACGAUUUCGAUUGCAGCUAAUGAUGGCAGCGGAGGAGCGUCGUGUGUGUCUUCAGGAGAUUCCUCCGUAUCCCACUCCAAUGGCAAUUGAUUUUAAUUUCCAUAUGUGUGUGUUAAACUGCGACUGCACUGAGGAAAAUGAGACUUAAGUUGCUAAAAGCAAUAGUAUAAUUGAUUCAUGAUCAAGGAUCAAGAAUUAAGUUCUAACAUAUAUACUUUC